GAUCAUGGCUCAGAUUGAACGCUGGCGGCGUGCUUAACACAUGCAAGUCGCGCGUGAAAGGACUUCGGUCCGAGUAAGGCGGCGCACGGGUGAGUAACGCGUGGAUGAUCUACCCAUGAGUUAGGAAUAACGGCUGGAAACGGUCGCUAAUACCAAAUACGCUCCGAUUUCAACUUCGGGGAAAGGUGGCCUCUGCUUGCAAGCUACUGCUCAUGGAUGAGUCCGCGUCCCAUUAGCUAGUUGGUGGGGUAACGGCCCACCAAGGCGACGAUGGGUAGCCGGUCUGAGAGGAUGACCGGCCACACUGGGACUGGAACACGGCCCAGACUCCUACGGGAGGCAGCAGUGGGGAAUAUUGCGCAAUGGGCGAAAGCCUGACGCAGCGACGCCGCGUGAGGGAAUGAAGGUCCUCGGAUCGUAAACCUCUGUCAGGAGGGAAGAACCGCCACGGUGCUAAUCAGCCGUGGUCUGACGGUACCUCCAAAGGAAGCACCGGCUAACUCCGUGCCAGCCGCCGC
rnacentral:rRNA from 1 species